GCCAGCGUGGUGUAGCGGUUUGACCACUGGACUAAAACUCUGGAGACCAGGGUUCGAAUCCCGGCUCGGCCA